rnacentral:tRNA from 1 species
GGCCAAGAGGCGAAAGCCUGGUAAGAUAACGGGCUCUGGACCCGUUGACGUCGGUUCGAAUCCGACCGGGGCUA